UACGAAGGGGGCUAGCGUUGCUCGGAAUCACUGGGCGUAAAGCGCACGUAGGCGGAUUGCUAAGUCAGGGGUGAAAUCCUGGAGCUCAACUCCAGAACUGCCUUUGAUACUGGCGACCUUGGGUCCGGGAGAGGUGAGUGGAACUGCGAGUGUAGAGGUGAAAUUCGUAGAUAUUCGCAAGAAUACCAGUGGCGAAGGCGGCUCACUGGCCCGGUACUGACGCUGAGGUGCGAAAGCGUGGGGAGCAAACAGG
rnacentral:rRNA from 1 species